AAGUCGUAACAAGGUUUCCGUAGGUGAACCUGCGGAAGGAUCAUUAACACGUAUCCAACGUUAAACCCCCCGUGAACCUUCAGUGCGCUCGCACUUUCUUAGAAAAGGUAGCAAUCCCUGGUAAAUCAUUGCCGAACAGUUUUGAUUCAGGGACUUCUGCGUAGACUGUGCUUGAGCGUGAGGCAAGUGGCUGUCUGAAAGUGUCACCAGCUCUGUACGAAUGGCGCAGUCACGAUCGCUAGAGGCCGACACGGCCGGCGACCGGGUCACUGGGCGCGAGCCCCCCUCGUCACCUUUGCAUGAAAACGGGCCUGCGCUUAAUUGUGCGGCCACCAAACUCGAACAACUGUUAACAAUGGAUAUCUUGGUUCUC
rnacentral:misc_RNA from 1 species